AACAACUUUUUAAAUAAUUCCAAAGAAAUCAAUAUAAAAUGACAUCCCCACAUAAGAAAUGAUAAAAUUUUAGAUUUACUCAUAAGCAAAAUACAUUUAGGAGAAAAUCUGUCAUCCGGUAAUCUUCAGGAUUGACAAACUAAGCAUCCCUUUAAAAAUGCUUUUUAAAAGUUUAUAUUAAUUAAAUGUAUUCAAGAGCAUUAUUUUAGUAAUGUGAUUAUACAGCUAUAAAAAUAUUAGUCAUCAUUAAAGAGAAUUUUCGUAGUUUUGACUAAGUUAGUUUUUCAACGAACGAUGCAUUGAUGAAUUGGCUUUUGAAAGGUUGACUUUCUUCUUUGUGUGGGAAAACCAGAGCCCACGAGGGCAGAAAAUAUGCAUGCUUAUCAUAGAACUGGGGAAGAACAACUGAGUACAAACCUAUUUACUUUCCUAGUGUAAUGUAUUGUCCAUGUUGCUUCUUACAGUGGUAAAAUAUGAGAAGAUAAUUUUUAGAUAACAGGAAUGAAUAAUUUCUAAAUUGGCAGCAGAGUCUAUGGAGACUUAAAGAGAAGUCGAGUCAAAUGAGAGAACAGAAACAGAACUCGUGGGUCAUCUGUCAGAUUUACUUACUUUAUAGAUUAGAAAUAAAUUAAUAAAUAUUAAUUUAAAUUUCGAAAGGGUGGCUCUUCCAAGGCCAAAUACUAAAUUUCUAUGGUCGGUUUCUCUCCCUUUAUCUCUCUCUCAUCCUCUGCCUCUACUUCAUCUAGGAUGUCAGGAUUCUCUUAGAGCUGACCUGAGUGGUAAAUAUUUGCUUAUCUUUCAUAUUUUGCCUAACAUCUAGGUUAAUGCUGCCAAUGUCAAGCUGGUUUUGGGGCGCCAGAUGUGUUCUCUUCCAAUAAAGUUUAGGAUGUUGCCAUAUAAAGCUGCUCUUUCUACACUGCCUGAUAUUUCAUCAUUAUCCUCCUCACUUCAAAAUCCGGGAAAGACAGGGGUCUUAAGCUAUUGCUCAGCCUGGAGUACAGUGGCAACCAAUCCAGUUCAAGUGACACUCCUGCCUCAGCCUGCCAAGCAGCUGGGACUAUAGGUGCGUGCCAUCAUGCCUAGCUAAUUUUUUAACAUCUUAUAUUUUGUAGAGACAGGAUCCCACUAUACUGCCCAAACUAGUCUUAAACUACUGGUUCAAGGAAUCCUCCUGCCUUGGCCUCUCAAAGUGUUGGAAUUACAUGUGUGAGCCACUGCACCUGGCCUCUAAUUUAAAUUCUUCUGUACUUCUAAAUUUUCUUGAAUUUUCUGUUUUAUAUUUUACAAAGGUUAUUGUUGAUAGCCUCUGGUUUAGUUAGAUACCCUGUACAAACUUUUAAAAUACUAAAAUCAAUUAUUGUAUAUCCUGUAUCUGAUACUUCCAACAUCAGUGUGCUUUUGUCUCUGAUUCUGUCAUUUAACAUUAAAACUUAAUCUUGGUCCUGUUGGCUUGUGCCUUAUGAAUCUAUUGUGAGUUAAUAGUCCUUGAGACUUUAUCUUUAUAUUCUGACUUUAAAUUUGUGUUUGGCUCUCUAGCUUCAUAUAAGCCUAUCUAUCUAGGGACCUUUUCAUCUAAAAGAUCUUUAUUUGUGGUAUUUUCAGCUGGUGAAGCGAUUGUGAAUUCUCUCUCAAAAUAGGCAUGAAUCAGGCUUGUAGUUAGAAAAUCUUAGGGGAAAUUUUUAUUCUUUAUUCCUACUACUAUUUACAUGCCUAAACAUAGUUACAUCUUCUUCUUAGAAUAAGCCCGUUAGUUUUGUUUUCAUGUUUUCUGAUUUAUUCACUCUGGGCUAUCUUUCUGAGGGUUCAGGUGUUUUGCAGGGGUCUCUGACCAGACAGACAUCUUAUUUUGCAUGGACCUUAGGCUUUAUUUCUUAUUUCUAGACUGAUAGUCCAUUUAAACCAAGGUGCUACACCACAAAGGGCAAUUCAACAUCCUCAAGACGAAUGAAAGAUUUAACGUCGUUCACCUACCUGAAUCAGUGCCUUUUUAUGAUUUUUUCCCUCUAGAAGUAUUUUUUUUCUGCUAGAUCAGCCGUAUAUUUCAAAAUGUAUAUAUAAAUAUUUCAGGUAUUCUAUACCUAGGAAGUUUCUCUGAACACCUAGAUUGUAGUACUAGAAAAUAUAACUCCUGAUGUAUUUGUUUCUGAUUUGAAAAAGGGGAAUUUGUAAAAUUGUCAGUUUGCUCUGUCUUUAUGCAUAAAUUAAAAGUAAACUCACUGCAGCAAGAAAUUUGGAGAGGUAUUUGAAAACAUUAUUAUUCUAAAAUAUACUUAUAAAAAUAAGUAUGAAAUUUAAAAAAAUGAAGGUUUGAACAAACUAGCAAUAAGAGUAGAAGAGCCCUGUGAAAUAUUGGCAGAUUUCAGAACUUUCAUAAUUGUUAAAUGUAAGGUACUAGUACAGGAAAAGGCAUGUUAGUUCAUUAAAACAAAGUGUAGUUAAGCAUUAGAAAAAUAUAUAUGGAUGUGAAAAGCAAAAUUCUAAUAUAAUCUAGAAAAAGUGAAUUACACAAUUAAUGUUAUAAAUGUUUUCUGGCCAUAUAUAUAAAUACAGCUGCAUCUACAAAGCCAAAAAAUCCAUAUGUAUACAAUGGUUAACAUAAAUAUUAAUAUUUGCCAUAGAAUAGAAGAUUUUUCUAGCAUAUCUUAAAACCCAGACUUCAAAGACAAAAAUAUUAAUACAUUUCAUUUAUAUAUACAACACAAUGAUUCAAAGACCAGAAGGGGAAAGAUAAUGAGGGCUAGUGACAUGAUAGAUAGAAGCUAGAAAGAGUUGGAGAAGGUUAGAAAGAAAAUACAAUAAAUAAAGAAAACAGGCAUAUAAUAGGCAUAUAAAAAGUGACUUACCCAAACUCAGGGAUCAGAUUCUCUAGGAAAUGUUUCUCAUUGAUUACUCUGGCUUACUUCAGCAUUCAUCUUCUUUGAUCCUAUAGCAUAGUGUGUAUACUUUAUUUCUUAACAUGUAUCAGGUUAUUCUAAAAUAAACUAUUUCAAGUUCAUUGGGUUUUUGUGGACAAAGAAAGGGUAAUGUUUUAUUUUUCCAAAUAGCCUUAAAAUUUAGACUUGAGGUCAAGAAACAUUUCUCUGUAAAGGAUCUUAUGUUAAUAUUUUAAAAUUUGCAGGCCAUUUUCAACUCUGCUGUUGUAGUAAGAAAGCGACAAAAUAUAACAUAUAAAUAAGCAAGUAUGACUGUGUUCUAAUAAAACAGAAAAAUAGGCUGUGGGCCAGAUUUGGCCUGUGGACUGUAACUUGUGUUUCCCUGGCCUACGUGAAUGUCUAGCAAAAUGUAGAUGGUGAAUUGGGGCAUCUAACCCCCAACAUUCUGCCAACUAUUCAUAGACUUACAGCUCCCUCACAGUAUACAAGUUAGAAUAAAAUUGGUUUUAGUUUGUAAAGAAAUGAUCUGUUUUCAAAUCCCUUCUGCUUCUUUUCUCCCCAUCACCAUGAAACAUAUGGACUCUCAUACUAAAAAGAGGAGAGUGUGUUGUUCCCACACAUUGCUUCUAAUGAGAUUAUCAGUGCUCUGAGGACCAUCAGGGUGGUGACAAUGCAAUGUGAACAUGACCUGUGAAAAGUUGGUUUUCUCUUGAAGUCAUGUGUAUUUCCUUUUUCCACCUCCAUAAUUUCUUGACCCAUACACAUCUAAGUUUCUUUUGCCUACAUCUGAGGGCCCAGAGAGUAUGC
ensembl:lncRNA